ACACCUGAAGGAAGAUGGUUUCAUUUUAGUUGCCAGAUAAUGAUGAUGUACCGGUGACGUCCAGGAUCAGAAAGUGAGAUGGAUGAGUCCAGAUGAAAGUACAGUCCUACACCUGAAGGAAUAUGGUUUCAAUACAGUUGGCAGAUGAUGAGGAUGCAAAAAGAGCAUAGACGCAGAAAACAACGCCAUUCACACAGAUGUUUCAGUUGAGAUGGUAGAUGAGUAGCAACUCCAUGGAAGAUGUUUACUUAGAUCUUCAACCAAGUCCGAGGCUUUGCCAUGUAAGCAAUCAAGCACCAAGGAUAGCAGCUAGAAUGAAGAUUAAUGAUUACAUUGAUCUUCCACCAAGUCUGAGGCUUUGUCAUGAAAGAA